rnacentral:rRNA from 1 species
GACGAACGCUGGCGGCGUGCUUAACACAUGCAAGUCGAACGGAAAGGCCCUGCUUUUGUGGGGUGCUCGAGUGGCGAACGGGUGAGUAAAACGUGAGUAACCUGCCCUUGACUUUGGGAUAACUUCAGGAAACUGGGGCUAAUACCGGAUAGGAGCUCCUGCUGCAUGGUGGGGGUUGGAAAGUUUCGGCGGUUGGGGAUGGACUCGCGGCUUAUCAGCUUGUUGGUGGGGUAGUGGCUUACCAAGGCUUUGACGGGUAGCCGGCCUGAGAGGGUGACCGGCCACAUUGGGACUGAGAUACGGCCCAGACUCCUACGGGAGGCAGCAGUGGGGAAUAUUGCACAAUGGGCGGAAGCCUGAUGCAGCAGCGCCGCGUGCGGGAUGACGGCCUUCGGGUUGUAAACCGCUUUCGCCUGUGACGAAGCGUGAGUGACGGUAAUGAGUAAAGAAGCACCGGCUAACUACGUG